rnacentral:rRNA from 1 species
UACGUAGGGCGCAAGCGUUAAUCGGAAUUACUGGGCGUAAAGCGUGCGUAGGUGGUGAGUUAAGUCUGUCGUGAAAGCCCCGGGCUCAACCUGGGAAUGGCGAUGGAUACUGGCUCGCUAGAGUGCGGUAGAGGAGAGUGGAAUUCCCGGUGUAGCAGUGAAAUGCGUAGAGAUCGGGAGGAACAUCAGUUGCGAAGGCGGCUCUCUGGACCAGCACUGACACUGAGGCACGAAAGCGUGGGGAGCAAACAGG